ACCGGCAGCGGGAUAUCCGCACCGCCGCUACUACCGCAUAAAUAGCGGAUAAUGCCAAGGUACUGCAGUCAGUUAUUUUUACGGAAGCUCUCGAGGUCUCAUCAUGCUGAAAAAAAUCUGGAAAUCCUUCACAAGAUUAGUCCGUUCCAACGGCAACAACAAGAAAUCCUAUUCCUACCAAUCACAUCAAGCGGAUUAUCUAACAUUCCGCCAUCGCAGCAAAGCGGAAGUUAAUCUAGUUACCCUCGGAGAUGGACGGACAGAAUUCCGAACGCCCUACACCAGCCGACUGGGACGAAAAGUCAUCCGUCUUCGCGAGUAAUUGGAGCACUUAAUAUUCUGGUGUGCGAAUCUUAAUACGACCAAUGGGAAUUAACUAAGAUGUGAUAUCUGGUGAUAU